rnacentral:rRNA from 1 species
UACGUAGGGGGCUAGCGUUAUCCGGAAUUACUGGGCGUAAAGGGUGCGUAGGUGGUUUCUUAAGUCAGAGGUGAAAGGCUACGGCUCAACCGUAGUAAGCCUUUGAAACUGAGAAACUUGAGUGCAGGAGAGGAGAGUAGAAUUCCUAGUGUAGCGGUGAAAUGCGUAGAUAUUAGGAGGAAUACCAGUUGCGAAGGCGGCUCUCUGGACUGUAACUGACGCUGAGGCUCGAAAGCGUGGGGAGCAAACAGGAUUAGAUACCCUGGUAGUCCCUGA